GGAAAUCUUACUGCAGACAACUGCUCCUCUGACUUGAAUGAAUCAAUAUUCAAGAUCUUCACUUUUUUGUGUUUUAAAAAGAUUUUUUGUACUGACUUCUAGGACUUGACACUUUCUCAAAUUAGACAAGCAAUAAUUUGAUGUUUGGAAUUACUUGAGUGUUGGUUCUUGCCUUCCCAUGACAGGUGAUUCUCUAUUUGUCUGUGUAAUCAGCACAUCUUUGCCUGUAUGCCUGAGCAUCUGAUAAGCAGUUGGUAAAAUAACUACUGAGAACUAAUUUUAUAUAUAGGGUCUGUCCUGCCAAAAAUAGUUACUAUGCAAAUAAAUUUCAGGGCAAAUGGAAGGAGGAAGUGAAAGAUUAUAGAGCAGCACUGUCCUGAAAUUAGCAAAGUGUGAGGCAAACCAGCACUUCUUGGUCCUCAGCAGAUGAACAGUCCCCAGAAAGAGUCUUUAGGCUGCGUGCUCCCCUCCUCAUUACACCUUGAUGGAUCUUCUGUUCUGCUCCCAGAAGUCCAAAGGUGAAAACGGGUAAGUGUGCAGAAUGAGCAGAAGUAUGAAACAAGGAGUGUCAACAAAUUUCACAAGGAUUAAUGUUUGCAUCACUGAUAAUGCAGAAGGAGAAUCGCAUGGCAUGAUAAGAAGUAAAAGUGAUCAGAAGGCGGUGUGACUGCGAAAGGGGAAGAAAAUGAAAAGUUGAAUGAUGGAGGGCCCCCACUUGCUGCAGCAGUGCAGACAGCUUUGAAUGAAUCACAGUAUUCCAAGAAUCACUGACAAACCUUGUCACAUGGGCAACCCACAGCACAGGAGCUGCCAGAAUGAUGCAGUGACUAAGGAGGCUGAUGUGAUCCCUGGAUGUAGAAUACCUUCUGUAGGAGUAAAGAGCAUUAGGCCUAGACAGCGGUUGAAAACCACAGCUCAGUUGGCGAUGAGCACUGUGCAGCAGCGGAAGCGUGUGGAAAAAUUCUGGCUGACUCAUCCAUAAUUCAUCUGGCGUCCCAGGGAAUGUGCGCACUGGAGAGGGAUCCCUGGCACUCCUGCAAGGAAGAGGCCUGCUGCCACAGCAAGAUGUGGGCGACAACCAGCCCUCUUUUACCCAGAUGGCCUCUGAAGGACCACAUGCAACAUCUCUCAUACCUGUGACUAUGUGCACCCUUGGCCCAGCCAGGCAGACGUGCUGCUUGAACUGCAGGAGCCCCAGGACAAGGUAGAGAACUGCCUGAAUUUGAGAACAAAGCCUCACUGAGACACUUGCUUUUCAGUCCUGCCUGACAGCUGAGUUCCACACAGAAGGUAUGUUAAGUUAGGAAAGCUUCCUGUAAUCUCUGCCCCUUUGAGAAACACCCAACAGCCCGAUUAAAUCUGUUUUGCAGUGACUUUCAUGUCAUCAGCUAGAGCCGUCUCUAAAAAGGUGCAAGCACAACAGCCAAGUGAUUGUGCUAGAGACGCAUGAGUUAAUUUUUAAAUGUUUCCUGUUUCACCCUUAAGAAUGACCUUUACUAAAAAAAAAAAGUAAAUUCAAAUUAGUAUUAAAUACAUUUUCUUAAAUAGAAUCAACUAUGGAAAAGGUUCUUUCAACUCCUUAACAUACACAAUCACGAUACACUGAUUACUGUACAAGAUUACUAUAGUAUCUCUUUGAAGUUCGCAUAUGGAGUUCAACUAUAUAUAUACAUAAAAAAAAAAUAAAAUGGGGGAUUAGUCAGAUUACUAUUGGCUUGCCUUUAUUACCUCAUGUUUAUUUUCUCAGUUACACACUGAAUAUUUCAAACAUUGCGUGCCCCUUAGUAGCAAACAUCUCCAUUCCUGUUCCAACACAGGACCCUGGCUUUUGAUACCCGAUACGCUAUGUGCCAAUGUGAAGCUUGAUUUACCAGUGAGAAUCCAAGAGAGUCCAAUAUCCUGCUAGCACAAGCAAGACUGGAGGACUAGGACUUUUGUUCUGGAACUUCUAGUCAGAAGCUCUUGCAGUAUUAGAGUAGAUGCUUUGUCCAUCAUCUCAGCCCUAGCAAACAAAGGCACAACUGUGUGGUACGUAAUAUUUUGAUGUUUAUUUUAAGAGUAUCAUCUUGCAAUGGCAUAUUCAAGAAUUUGUGUCAUGCAUCUGUUGAUUUUGUAACUAAAGCACUGUUGGUCAAUUUUUUUCCCUUACUGGUUCAUAAUUGUGGGAGGAAAACAUGUAAGUAGAUUGGAAUUGUGCACCACAGCCAUGAGUGUAACUUUUGUUUAGGCUCAGAAUGUGACGCAGAGGAAUCAAACUGGAGCCAGCUGAGGACAGCUCUUCUUCUAGGCUCUCAAGUUCCUCUAGGAGGAUUUUAUACAACCCUUGAAACCUAGUUGGGAUAUUUCUUCCAGUAGAGCUACACCUAUAGUGUAGGCAGGAUGCAGACACUUUACUGCAGUCAAACCAUAUGCAGCUUGAUUACACUUUGCUGUGUUCUUGGCAGUACUGAAGGAGCAUGAAUUAGUGAUUUUUUUUUUUUAUGUAUGCAUUUGUAAAAGGCACAGUAAUGGAUGUUCAACACCACUGAGAAGCCAAAAUAAAUAUACUGUGGUAAUGA